GCGGGCGUAGUUCAAUGGCAGAACGGCAGCCUUCCAAGCUGCACACGAGGGUUCGAUUCCCUUCGCCCGCUCCA
rnacentral:tRNA from 1 species